AAUAAUUAUUUUUUUCUUUUAGAUAAAAUUAGGAAAAGGCUAAAAUAGAAACAGCCAUCUACAACCAGAAGGCACCUUGGACACAGACACAUUGAGACACUCGCAUCUACCUACAGGAUUAAAUAACAUGUGAACCCAGUCAAUCAAUCAGACAUCUUUCUAUAAAAUAGAGCAUCCUUCCAAGCCCAUUACCCUCGGUACAAAGGAACAGACAGAUCUUGACAUUUAAUAAAAAGGAAAAUAUUCCAAGGGAAAUAAGAGCAUGAUACUGCAAUGUAAAAACAAAAGUCUGCACUAUCUUUAACUAACGUUGAGACAAAGGAAUAACAUUCUGAUCCAACAUCUCAAUGAUGAGAAUUGGGGAAGUCAUGAGUACAAUGUGGAAAUCUGAUCACUGAUGUCAAUCAAAAAUAAAAUUAAAAAUUUCUAACAUUAGACACAAAAUACAAACUAUGGUGUGAUAAAUUAUUAUAUUAUUCAUAAAGAUCUGUCCCCACUGUAAAUCUACAAAUAGCACACUGGGAGCUAGCACAUAAAAUAAGACAAUGCAUUCACCCACAAAGGGAUCAUUGAUAAAGUGAUGAUAUUGCAAUGAAAAUAACCUGCAUAUAAACAUUAAAACAGUGAAACAUUUAAAUGAAAAAAAAAAAAAAGAGACCAUAUGUCAAUAGAGUCCAUAAAAUGAGUUCCUUAAACUCAACUAUUUGACUAAUGACUCUGUGACUGCCCCAAGAAACAAGGCACAAAAAAAUACCCACAUUCUAGCCAAUGAAUGAACAUGAUUUAUGAUGGCUGGAUUUUUUAUUUUUUUUUUACUAAUGACU